GAUGAACGCUAGCGAUAGGCCUAACACAUGCAAGUCGAGGGGCAUCACAUGAAGUAGCAAUACGGAUGGUGGCGACCGGCGCACGGGUGAGUAACACGUAUGCAACCUGCCUUCAACAAGGGGAUAACCCGUUGAAAGACGGACUAAUACCCUAUAACACAGGGGUCCCGCAUGGGGAAUAUUUGUUAAAGGACAACCGGUUGAAGAUGGGCAUGCGUUCCAUUAGCUAGUUGGCGGGGUAACGGCCCACCAAGGCAACGAUGGAUAGGGGAACUGAGAGGUUUAUCCCCCACACUGGUACUGAGACACGGACCAGACUCCUACGGGAGGCAGCAGUGAGGAAUAUUGGUCAAUGGACGCAAGUCUGAACCAGCCACGUCGCGUGAAGGAAGACGGCCCUACGGGUUGUAAACUUCUUUUAUACGGGAAUAAAGUGCCCCACGCGUGGGGUUUUGCAUGUACCGUAUGAAUAAGGAUCGGCUAACUCCGUG
rnacentral:rRNA from 1 species